rnacentral:rRNA from 1 species
UACAGAGGGUGCGAGCGUUAAUCGGAAUUACUGGGCGUAAAGCGUGCGUAGACGGUAGCGUAAGUCAGAUGUGAAAGCCCCGGGCUCAACCUGGGAAUUGCAUUUGAGACUGCUCUGCUCGGGUGCGGAAGAGGGAAGCGGAAUUUCCGGUGUAGCGGUGAAAUGCGUAGAUAUCGGAAGGAACACCAGUGGCGAAAAGCGGCUUCCUGGUCCGACACCGACGUUCAGGCACGAAAGCGUGGGGAGCAAACAGG